AGAAUUUUUUUAAACAGCAUAUCAACAAUUUCUCACUCUGUAAAGUAAGAAAAUAUAUAGGACGUUGUAGUUAUACAAUUUUGAAGUCUUGUUUAUGUUUAGCUCACUGACAAAUUUCCUACCCAAAAAUAAUAAACCGGUUGUUUGCUUCACUGAUGACCUCAAUUGAUUUUCCAUAUAAAUGUAUGAAAUAGCCUUAAAAAACUGCCCUCUUUCCCCUAUAACAUCUUUUGCUUCUUGGUUUGUUUAGCCAAUAAGAGUAGAAUUGACAUCUGAAUAGAAUAUAACAGUUUAUAAUGAAUGUUACAACACCCCAAAUGAAGAUCAUUUCAAUAUGACAUAGACAGGGAUUGUGAAAAAAGACUUUUAGAGCAUCCAGUAUAUAGACCGUUUUAAAUGCACGUCAAAGCAGAAAACAAACAUUCAGAAAACAUAGAUAUUUGCUUAGUCAUUAUGUGUUAGUGAGCAUCCAUCUUGAUCCCUAAGCAAAUGUUUAACUGGCUUUAUGCAGCGGUAAGGUCCAAGUCAUGUGUCCAAAGCCUCAGCAGAUUUCAGUUCAAUCUCAGAGUGAUUAGCAAGGCUUUUCAGUCUAUCCUUAGUGUCCCUUGCAUCUGAUUAGCAGGCAGGCCAACGUCUGCAGGGGAGCUUUUGGACUGGUUUGCGGAUCAAAUGCUUGCAACACUCCCGGUGUUUCUUUAGGAACUUCCAUCCCACUUUCUACAGCUUUGGGAAUAUAUUUCAUUUUUGCCUUGUAUAAUUUACUGGAUUAUGGGUGUAUGCAAUGAGAAACUGGCAAACAGUCUAUUUUUGUCAGAGAAGGGAGACAAUCACCAAGUGUUGGGUUAAGGGGAGUCAUGAGGAAAAGUUGUGGACCACCUGUCUCUAGGCCGCUUGUGAAAACCAUGUCAAACGUCCGUCAGAGUUUGUCCCACCACCUUCUCCUGCUCUUCUGACAUCUCAGGCCCAGUCAUCAAUGCCGCGACACGCCAAAAUGUCUCAUCACAAGCGCAACUUCCACUGCUUCAAUGCAGUUGGAGGGGAAGGCUCCCACAAGUCCUCUCAGCCUUUAGAUCAUCACACCACCCGGCUACCAAAGAUACCGCAGCGUGGCAUGGCGGCCUAUCAUGAACUGGAGCAGGAAUACUGUCUUUGCUCGGCAUGUCGACAAGCGCACACUUUAGACGAUGUAGAGAACCAGCUGUUGCCUUUCUACCAUGCACACCCACCAUAUCAUCAUCAUCACCCUCACCGGUAUGUUCUCAGUGGGCCAAGCAGACAUGAAGAGACUCAUGCAGCCAAUGACUGUCACCUACAUCACCAAAGAUAUGAUAAAACGAUUGUGCUGGUGAAAAACAGCGACCCUUCAUUUAGGAAGACCAUAAUAUUGCACCGUAGGGGUCUGCACAGCUUUGGUCUGUUCUUGGAAGAUGUUUCUGAACUCAUGCAGUACAACAUCAGGAAGCUGUACACUCAAGAGGGCUGUAAGAUUGACAGCGUACAAAGCCUUCUGCAGUGCCCAGGCGUUCUCGUUUGUGUGGGACGGGAGCCUUCUCACCCAUUAGUCGUGGAGGAUUUUGAGAAAACAUCAAGCUGUAAACUUCCGAAGCUGAGUGGGAAGUCAUGUCCCGCAGAACGCACUGACGGAAAUGAAAGUAAGCGAAACAAUUUUUGUUUGUUCACAGAACAACAUCUUGACCCAAUAUGUGUUAAGUUAAAGGUCAAAGAAUUGUCUUCAGUGCCAGACACAUUUUCAUUUUAUCAUGUUAGAUUCCAUGUCAUCAAAAGCAAGCGAUUCUCUGA